AAGAUUAAACUGAAGAGUUUGAUCAUGGCUCAGAUUGAACGCUGGCGGCAGGCCUAACACAUGCAAGUCGAGCGAGAAAGGCCUUCGGGCUGAGUAGAGCGGCGGACGGGUGAGUAACGCGUAGGAAUCUACCCGGUAGUGGGGGACAACAUGGGGAAACUCAUGCUAAUACCGCAUACGCCCUUCGGGGGAAAGCGGGGGACCUUC
rnacentral:rRNA from 1 species